AACGUUACCAAACUGUUGCCUCGGCGGGAACUCAUGCCCCGGGUGCGUCGCAGCCCCGGACCAAGGCGCCCGCCGGAGGACCAACCAAAACUCUUUUUGUAUACCCCCUCGCGGGUUUUUUAUAAUCUGAGCCUUCUCGGCGCCUCUCGUAGGCGUUUCGAAAAUGAAUCAAAACUUUCAACAACGGAUCUCUUGGUUCUGGCAUCGAUGAAGAACGCAGCGAAAUGCGAUAAGUAAUGUGAAUUGCAGAAUUCAGUGAAUCAUCGAAUCUUUGAACGCACAUUGCGCCCGCCAGUAUUCUGGCGGGCAUGCCUGUCCGAGCGUCAUUUCAACCCUCGAACCCCUCCGGGGGGUCGGCGUUGGGGAUCGGCCUUCCUUCACGGGGGCCGUCUCCGAAAUACAGUGGCGGUCUCRCCGCAGCCUCUCCUGCGCAGUAGUUUGCACACUCGCAUCGGGAGCGCGGCGCGUCCACAGCCGUUAAACACCCAACUUCUGAAAUGUUGACCUCGGAUCAGGUAGGAAUACCCGCUGAACUUA
rnacentral:rRNA from 1 species